rnacentral:rRNA from 1 species
UAUGUGAUCGUCUCUCGCAUAUCAAUAAGCGGAGGAAAAGAAACUAACAAGGAUUCCCCUAGUAACGGCGAGUGAAGCGGGAAGAGCUCAAAUUUGAAAUCUUAAAGGGUUUCCCUUUACGAAUUGUAGUUUAAAGAAGUGUUUUCUGUUGAGGUUCUGGUAAAAGUUCUUUGGAAUAGGACAUCAUAGAGGGUGAGAAUCCCGUAUUUGACCUUUACUUUCAACUUUGUGAUACACUUUCAAAGAGUCGGAUUGUUUGGGAAUGCAGUCCAAAAUGGGUGGUAAAUUUCAUCUAAAGCUAAAUAUUGGCGAGAGACCGAUAGCGAACAAGUACCGUGAGGGAAAGAUGAAAAGAACUUUGAAAAGAGAGUUAAACAGUACGUGAAAUUGUCAAAAGGGAAGCGUUUGACACCAGUGUUGUUUUUCUGAAAAUCAAUUAAAGAACUGUUUAUGCUAAGCUGUUUAGACUUUAUCAGCUAAUCUGUUUAGUUUUGAGCUUUUCUUUAAUGCACUUUUCAGUUAACAAGUCAACAUCAAUUUCUUUUGCUGUAAAAAAGCUUGAGGAAGGUGGCUUGAGAUUCGUCUUAAGUGUUUAUAGCCUCUUGCCUAUGCAGUCGGAGAGAUUGAGGUCUGCAGCGUAGAUCCUUCGGGGCUAAAUGCAUCUGUGCUAAGUUAUAGCAUUUUAUAGACAACUUGUUGACUAUGAUUUGUCUUGUAGCUUACUCGCUUAUGUUAUUUUACCUACGCUUAGGAUGUUGAACGCGCACAGAGUCUC